rnacentral:rRNA from 1 species
GGUUAAUUUUUUGGGUAUGAGAGUAGCGGACGGGUGAGUAAUGCAUAAGAAUCUAUCCAUCAGAGGGGGACAACUGCGGGAAACCGGAGCUAAUACCCCGUAAGCCGGAAGGUGAAAGGGAGCAAUCCGCUGAUGGAGGAGCUUGUGUCCUAUCAGGUAGUUGGUGAGGUAAGAGCUCACCAAGCCGAAGACGGGUAGCCGGACUGAGAGGUUGUACGGCCACAUUGGAACUGAGAGACGGUCCAGACUCC